rnacentral:rRNA from 1 species
GUAAAGAGAGUGCAGGUCGGUUUUCUAAGUCUGAUGUGAAAGCCUUCGGCUUAACCGGAGAAGUGCAUCGGAAACUGGAUAACUUGAGUGCAGAAGAGGGUAGUGGAACUCCAUGUGUAGCGGUGGAAUGCGUAGAUAUAUGGAAGAACACCAGUGGCGAAGGCGGCUACCUGGUCUGCAACUGACGCUGAGACUCGAAAGCAUGGGUAGCGAACAGGAUUAGAUACCCUGGUAG